rnacentral:tRNA from 1 species
AAGGUCUUAUCUUAAUAAAAGGGCCUAAGUUGCAUUUAGGAGAUGUGAGACAACCACUCACAGGCCUUA